UUUUUUUUUUUUUUGUUGCUUCAAUUACUUUUUUUUAUCUUAUUGAAUUAUUCGUAAAUCGAAAAACGCACAAAUCUGAAUAGAAUCAUAUGGCAUUGAAUGAUUUCUCUAAUUCAAAACUAGUUAUACAUGUACAUGUAGAUGCCUCUUAAGUUUUAUUUUUCUCGUUGGGUUGCUUGUUCAUUAAUUGACGUUUACGCUAUAUUCUUUUGUUCGGUAUUUGUGAAAAAACCGCUCAUCUAUCGAUUUCACAAGAAAUAUAAUACUCGUAAGUCAUAUAAAAAAGAAGAUGUGGUAUGAUUGCCAAUGAGACAACUAUCCACAAAAGACCAAAAUGACACAGACAUUAACAUUAUGAACAUUGAAGUUUAACUUGCUAUCAAUUUUUCGUAUACGCACA
rnacentral:lncRNA from 1 species